rnacentral:rRNA from 1 species
AUUGAACGCUGGCGGCAUGCCUUACACAUGCAAGUCGAACGGUAACAGGUCUUCGGAUGCUGACGAGUGGCGAACGGGUGAGUAAUACAUCGGAACGUGCCUAGUAGUGGGGGAUAACUACUCGAAAGAGUGGCUAAUACCGCAUGAGAUCUACGGAUGAAAGCAGGGGAUCGCAAGACCUUGUGCUACUAGAGCGGCCGAUGGCAGUUUAGGUAGUUGGUGGGAUAAAAGCUUACCAAGCCGACGAUCUGUAGCUGGUCUGAGAGGACGAUCGGCCACACUGGGACUGAGACACGGCCCAGACUCCUACGGAAGGCAGCAGUGGGGAAUUUUGGACAAUGGGCGCAAGCCUGAUCCAGCAAUGCCGCGUGAAGGAUGAAGGCCUUCGGGUUGUAAACUGCUUUUGUACGGAACGAAAAGCCCUGGGUUAAUACCCUGGGGUCAUGACGGUACCGUAAGAAUAAGCACCGGCUAACUACGUGCCAGCAGCCGCGGUAACAC